rnacentral:rRNA from 1 species
ACGGGGUGCAGCAGGCGCGAAAACUUCACACUGGGGGGAACCCCCGAUGAGGGAAAUCCUAGUGCUAGACCAUUUGUUCUAGCUUUUCUCAAGGCGUAGAUAACUUGAGGAAUAAGGGCUGGGUAAGACGGGUGCCAGCCGCCGCGGUAAUACCUGCAGCCCAAGUGGUGGUCGAUUUUAUUGAGUCUAAAACGUUCGUAGCCGGUUUGGUAAAUCUUUGGGUAAAUCGGGAGGCUCAACUUUCCGACUUCCGAAGAGACUGCCAAACUUGGGACCGGGAGAGGCUAGAGGUACUUCUGGGGUAGGGGUAAAAUCCUGUAAUCCUAGAAGGACCACCGGUGGCGAAGGCGUCUAGCUAGAACGGAUCCGACGGUGAGGGACGAAGCCCUGGGUCGCAAACGGGAUUAGAUACCCCGGUAGUCCAGGGUGUAAACGCUGCAGACUUGGUGUUGGAGGCCCUUCGGGGGCAUUCAGUGCCGGAGAGAAGUUGUUAAGUCUGCUACUUGGGGAGUACGUCCGCAAGGAUGAAACUUAAAGGAAUUGGCGGGGGAGCAC